rnacentral:lncRNA from 1 species
UCUAAUCUGAUGGAUUACCCGAUCUGUUGGGUUGCCGUUCCUCAUUCUAGUAAGUUCUUGUAAUGUUCUCCUUCGGUAAAACAUUUGUUCUUUGAUUGUCUGCUGAGCACUUUUACUCAUGCCCAUUGAUUUUGGUAAUGUUUCGCUCGCAGAGUGGCUACAAAAUAAAUUACUCGCUCCGUCCCACAAUAUAAGAGCAAUGUAUCGGUAACUUUGACCCUCCGCAUACUACAAGCGUUGCGAUUGAGCCUUGGUUCCAUCGAGUGUUGCCAGUGUGUACAAUAUCUCUGAUCCGCCGGGCGUCAUGGACAUCUAUUGGUAGCCUGCUCCUGUCUACGAUUCACUUGGCAUGGUUUGAUGUGAUCAAAGAUGCGUAUUGUUGCUAUAUUAAUCAGCUGGACAAUGUUCCUCAAAAGGAAUAUCAAUCCGACAAUGCAUGGUUAGCUAAGAUGAGGGAAAAGCAUCAUGGAUUUUUCAUGCUAAUCUCGGCGCAUUCAUUGUUGUGUCACAUGUGCAUAUGUGGUCAGGACUAUUGUAAUCUUUUUUUUGGGAAAUUGUGAUCUCUUUUUGAUUGGUUAUCCUGUCUUUUUUUAAUGAAAUAUGCAAUCCUAGUCUUGUUACAUUCGGACUACUACAUGCCUUUCCAUACAUGUAUCUUAUGCACAGAGACGUGACAACAUGACAGUUCAAUACUGCUAGUACGUACAUGCUAAUAUGUUACUCCCUCCAUUCCAAAAUAGAUG